GAUGAACGCUGGCGGCGUGCCUAAUACAUGCAAGUCGAGCGAAGCGGGGACGGGUGAGUAACACGUGGAUAACCUCCUAUAAGACUAGGAUCACUUCGGGAAACCGGAGCUAAACCGGAAACUUAUAGAUGGCUCCGUGCUGCAUUGGCUAGUUGGUAAGUUAACGGCUUACCACGGCAACGAUGCAUAGCCGACCUGCGAGGGUGAUCGUCCACACGGGAACUGAGACACGGUCCAGACUCCUCCGAGAGGCAGCAGUAGGGAAUCUUCCGCAAUGGGCGAAAGCCUGACGGGGCAAGGCCGCGUGAGUGAUGAAGGUCUGCGGAUCGUAAAACUCUGUUAUUAGGGAAGCGGUACCUAAUCAGAAAGCCACGGCUAACUACGUGCCAGCAGCCGCGGUAAUUC
rnacentral:rRNA from 1 species